rnacentral:rRNA from 1 species
UACGGAGGGGGCUAGCGUUGUUCGGAAUUACUGGGCGUAAAGCGCACGCAGGUGGAUUUAUAAGUCAGGGGUGAAAUCCCGAGGCUCAACCUCGGAAUUGCCUUCGAUACUGUCUAUCUUGAGUCCGGGAGAGGUGAGUGGAAUUCCUAGUGUAGAGGUGAAAUUCGUAGAUAUUAGGAAGAACACCAGUGGCGAAGGCGGCUCACUGGCCCGGUACUGACGCUCAUGUGCGAAAGCGUGGGGAGCAAACAGG